GUGGGGAAUAUUGGACAAUGGGCGAAAGCCUGAUCCAGCCAUGCCGCGUGUGUGAAGAAGGUCUUCGGAUUGUAAAGCACUUUAAGUUGGGAGGAAGGGCAGUAAGUUAAUACCUUGCUGUUUUGACGUUACCGACAGAAUAAGCACCGGCUAACUUCGUGCCAGCAGCCGCGGUAAUACGAAGGGUGCAAGCGUUAAUCGGAAUUACUGGGCGUAAAGCGCGCGUAGGUGGUUUUGUAAGUUGGAGGUGAAAUCCCCGGGCUCAACCUGGGAACUGCCUCCAAAACUGCAUGACUAGAGUACGGUAGAGGGUAGUGGAAUUUCCUGUGUAGCGGUGAAAUGCGUAGAUAUAGGAAGGAACACCAGUGGCGAAGGCGACUACCUGGACUGAUACUGACACUGAGAUGCGAAAGCGUGGGGAGCAAACAGGAUUAGAUACCCGGGUAGUCC
rnacentral:rRNA from 1 species